rnacentral:misc_RNA from 1 species
UUUCCGUAGGUGAACCUGCGGAAGGAUCAUUAAUGAAACCGGACCGUUCUUUUGCCGUUAAACGCAUUAGAUCGGAAAGGGCGAUAUCAUACUCCCUGUGGUUUUUUCCCUCUGUUGCUUUGGCGCGCCGUCCUUUACGGCCUCCGCUUCGCCUGAUACUGCUUGUCAGUGGACUCAACUCCUACUAUAAGUUACGACAGCGUACCAUAUGAUCGUCAAAACUUUUAACAACGCAUCCCUUGGUUCUGGCAUCCGUGAAGAACGCAGCCGCAUGGAUGA